rnacentral:lncRNA from 1 species
UUGAGGUUUGGACCAUUUCUUCUUGGGUUUUUGUUUGAUGGUUGGAAGAAGUAUUUUAAGCUGGACAUUGUGCUUGUUGAUGAUGGCUGGACGGUGCAGCAAAGGGGUCUAAGGAUUGCAUUUCGUUUUUGCAAAGAAAGUUGAAGAAAANUUAGUGUUANAAGUGGAUUGUUGAGUAGAAGUUUGUGUUUGUUGCUCUUGAAUCAUUUUGCAAUUGAAAGUUUGGAUUUCCUUGGUGCAUUCACGUUGUUGAUGGUUGAAGAAAGAGCAUUUUAAUGUUUGUGCUGGUGAAGAAAACGAAAAUGGUGUGUAGAAAGGAGAGAAAAUGAUGCAUUUAAUUUUUGCCACUUUUGGCCAAGCAAAAGGAGAUGCUUAUUUUGACUAAGGAGUGUUUCCACUUUAAGCUUUUUCCUUGCAUUGUUUCUUACGUGAAUUGCCAUGGAGAAUGGGAUGCUUUGUGUUUGUAUUUGCUUUGACCUUGCUUAUGUGGCACAAGGGUAGGAGAAAUUGAGCACUUUUUGACUUAUGGACUUUUUUGAAGCAUUGUUUGCAAGCAUUGCAUUGUAGUUCACGUUUAUUUGUGCCUUGGUGUUUACAAUUUCGUUUUUGCUGCAUGGAAAGGGAGGAAAGCAUGGUUUUAUGGUGUGUUUAAGGCAUAUGUUUGUUGUCUUGAAGUAUGGAGCACAUGNAUAAGAAGUCAACACACCUUGCAUGUUCAUUUAAGGAAGAAAAGUCAAAAUUGAAGUUGGGCCUUGGUGGACUAGGAGCUCACGGCCCAAGGGAGUUUCUCAAGCUAUUUUCACCUUUUAAUUUCAAUUGGUAGAUGAAUAUUGGUCACAUAAUGGAUAGAUGAAAAAACAUGUUUAAUUAUCUCUUUGUUUUGCAUUAAUUUGCAUAGUAGGAUUAGUUUCCUUUUAGUUUCUCUAAUUUAGUUUUGCAUUUAAUUUAAUUUAACUUUGUUGGAUAUUUGUUUGUCACUUUGUUGGGGUCUAGUAUUUUAUUUUAUUUUGUUUGAAUGUUGUCUAAGGUUUUUAAUAGUGUUAGUUUAAUUACCAUGCUAGCCUAAAUUAGUUUGUUUGCAUCUAUGUCUUUAUUGACUUUAAUUUUUGGCAAAACCAUUUUCACAACCCCCCCC